rnacentral:rRNA from 1 species
GAUGAACGCUGGCGGCGUGCCUAAUACAUGCAAGUCGAGCGAACAGACGAGGAGCUUGCUCCUCUGACGUUAGCGGCGGACGGGUGAGUAACACGUGGAUAACCUACCUAUAAGACUGGGAUAACUUCGGGAAACCGGAGCUAAUACCGGAUAAUAUAUUGAACCGCAUGGUUCAAUAGUGAAAGACGGUUUUGCUGUCACUUAUAGAUGGAUCCGCGCCGCAUUAGCUAGUUGGUAAGGUAACGGCUUACCAAGGCAACGAUGCGUAGCCGACCUGAGAGGGUGAUCGGCCACACUGGAACUGAGCCACGGUCCAGACUCCUACGGGAGGCAGCAGUAGGUAAUCUUCCGCAAUGGGCGAAAGCCUGACGGAGCAACGCCGCGUGAGUGAUGAAGGUCUUCGGAUCGUAAAACUCUGUUAUUAGGGAAGAACAAAUGUGUAAGUAACUAUGCACUUCUUGACGGUACCUAAUCAGAAAGCCACGGCUAACUACGUG